CAGAUACUCCCUCCGUCCCAAAAUUCUUAUCUUUGAUUUGUCUACAUACGGAUGUAUUUACUCACAUAUUAGUGUUAGAUACAUCCGUAUCUAGAUAAAUUUAAGACAAGAAUUUUGGGACGGAGGCAGUAUGAU
rfam:Triticum urartu cultivar G1812 contig290915, whole genome shotgun sequence.